rnacentral:misc_RNA from 1 species
UACGUAGGGUGCAAGCGUUAAUCGGAAUUAUUGGGCGUAAAGAGCUCGUAGGCGGUUUGUCGCGUCUGGUGUGAAAACUCAAGGCUCAACCUUGAGCUUGCAUCGGGUACGGGCAGACUAGAGUGCGGUAGGGGAGACUGGAAUUCCUGGUGUAGCGGUGGAAUGCGCAGAUAUCAGGAGGAACACCGAUGGCGAAGGCAGGUCUCUGGGCCGCAACUGACGCUGAGGAGCGAAAGCAUGGGGAGCGAACAGG